AACUCAGUGAGUUAAAUAACCAUUUGAAGAUGUCUAUGGACAAAUUGUGGUGGUUUUAUAAAUUAAUGAUACGGUGGUCCAUUUAGAGGGGUAGUUUAAGUAUAAAGAGAUGUUUAAUUGUAAUUUGACACGAAUAAAUAAUUAUUAUAUAAAUAUAUUUUAACUACCUUCUCAAUUUUAGACCACCGCAUUUCCUACUGUAGUUUGAUUUUGAAAUAUUUUUUUUCAAAAAUAUUUCAACCAUUUUCGUUAUGUCAACUCAACCAAUAUAUAGAUAAACAUCAACAAAAAUGUGAUGUUACAAACUAUGGUGAAAAUAAGAUCACUAUGAUGGAGAAGUUGCAUACCAAAAUUGUUGAUGUGAGUUAUAUAAAUUUGGUUGAAAACUCAGAAAUGCAGCAUGUAUGGACAACGUCAUCAAGUUGUGGCGAUUUUAUAAAUUAAUAAUAAGAUGGUCCAUUUAGAGUGUCUUAAUAAUAAUCACCUACUCAUUCGCAUAGUCACUCAACAACCAAAGCCCAAUUUACCAGACCGAUGCUCAGCUCAAGUCUGACGACCUCAAGGACCAAUUGAAACUCCAGAGCAAAGGUAUAUAUGAAGGUGAAAACCUGAUACCACCUUUUCUUUCAAGGAUGAAGAUUUGUUAAGGUCUCCAUUUGCAAGUUGAACCCCCAGAUUGCUUUCAUGAGGGGUGCGAUGAAGAUUAAGGGCAGUCUCAGCGUGCCUUAAAAAUUUACUCCUGACAUUUUCCCCAAGCCUUAAAAAAUGUGAGAGUACACAAAACCAAUGAUUUAUGUGGGAGGGUGAUUUACCAUACAGUUAUUUCAAUUUUCCAUGAAGUUACGAUUUUGUAGAGUGAUACUAUUUCACACCCAUUUUG